UACGGAGGGUGCAAGCGUUAUCCGGAUUUACUGGGUUUAAAGGGUGCGUAGGCGGAUAGGUAAGUCAGUGGUGAAAUCUUCGGGCUUAACUCGGAAAUUGCCGUUGAUACUAUCUAUCUUGAAUAUCGUUGAGGUUUGCGGAAUAUGUCAUGUAGCGGUGAAAUGCUUAGAGAUGACAUAGAACACCUAUUGCGAAGGCAGCAGGCUAAACGAACAUUGACGCUGAGGCACGAAAGCGUGGGGAUCAAACAGG
rnacentral:rRNA from 1 species